rnacentral:rRNA from 1 species
UACAGAGGGUGCAAGCGUUAAUCGGAAUUACUGGCGUAAAGCGUGCGUAGACGGUUACGUAAGUCAGAUGUGAAAGCCCCGGGCUCAACCUGGGAAUUGCAUUUGAGACUGCGUAGCUAGGGUGCGGAAGAGGGAAGCGGAAUUUCCGGUGUAGCGGUGAAAUGCGUAGAUAUCGGAAGGAACACCAGUGGCGAAAGCGGCUUCCUGGUCCAGCACCGACGUUCAGGCACGAAAGCGUGGGGAGCAAACAGG